CAGCACCUCAAGUGGUCAGGAUGAUUAUUGGGCCUAAAGCAUCCGUAGCCUGCUUUGUUAGUUUUCGGUUAAAUCCAUAUGCUCAACGUAUGGGCUGCCGGGAAUACUGCAAAGCUAGGGAGUGGGAGAGGUAGACGGUACUCGGUAGGAAGGGGUAAAAUCCUUUGAUCUAUUGAUGACCACCUGUGGCGAAGGCGGUCUACCAGAACACGUCCGACGGUGAGGGAUGAAAGCUGGGGGAGCAAACCGGAUUAGAGACCCGAGUAGUC
rnacentral:rRNA from 1 species